rnacentral:rRNA from 1 species
UACGGAGGGGGCUAGCGUUGUUCGGAAUUACUGGGCGUAAAGCGCACGUAGGCGGCUUUGUAAGUCAGUUGUGAAAUCCCGGGGCUCAACCCCGGAACUGCAUCCGAUACUGCCGUGCUAGAGGAUUGGAGAGGUAGCUGGAAUUCUUGGUGUAGCAGUGAAAUGCGUGGAGAUCAAGAGGAACACUCGUGGCGAAAGCGAGCUACUGGACAAUAUCUGACGCUGAGGCUCGAAGGCCAGGGUAGCGAAAGGG